rnacentral:rRNA from 1 species
CAGUCGCCGCGGUAAUGCGAAGGGGGCUAGCGUUGCUCGGAAUUACUGGGCGUAAAGGGCGCGUAGGCGGACAGUUUAGUCGGGGGUGAAAGCCCGGGGCUCAACCUCGGAAUUGCCUUCGAUACUGGCUGUCUUGAGUGUGUGAGAGGUGUGUGGAACUCCGAGUGUAGAGGUGAAAUUCGUAGAUAUUCGGAAGAACACCAGUGGCGAAGGCGACACACUGGCUCACUACUGACGCUGAGGCGCGAAAGCGUGGGGGGCAAACAGGAUUAGAUACCCGCGUAGUCCCUGUCUCUUAUAC